rnacentral:miRNA from 1 species
AUGACUGUUUUAAUGAAGAUUGCG